CCUACGGGCGGCAGCAGUGAGGAAUAUUGGUCAAUGGGCGCGAGCCUGAACCAGCCAAGUCGCGUGAGGGAUGAAGGUUCUAUGGAUCGUAAACCUCUUUUAUAAAGGAAUAAAACGAGGCACGUGUGCGUUUUUGCAUGUACUUUAUGAAUAAGGAUCGGCUAACUCCGUGCCAGCAGCCGCGGUAAUACGGAGGAUCCGAGCGUUAUCCGGAUUUAUUGGGUUUAAGGGGAGCGUAGAUGGGGUGUUAAGUCAGUUGUGAAAGUUUGCGGCUCAACCGUAAAAUUGCAAUUGAUACUGGCAGUCUUGAGUACAGUUGAGGUAGGCGGAAUUCGUGGUGUAGCGGUGAAAUGCUUAGAUAUCACGAAGAACCCCGAUUGCGAAGGCAGCUUACUAAACUGUGACUGACAUUGAUGCUCGAAAGUGUGGGUAUCAAACAGGAUUAGAUACCCUUGUAGUC
rnacentral:rRNA from 1 species